rnacentral:misc_RNA from 1 species
UUUCCGUAGGUGAACCUGCGGAAGGAUCACUACUUAGAUUUCAUGGGGUUCGAUGCUGACAGCCUAUUUUUGGAUGCAUAUGCUUUCCCUAACAACCAUCUUCCAAACACCUGUGCACAUUUUUGAUGUACUUUUCAGUUGCUUUCAGCUCUUGGGUGAUUUUAUCUCAUUCCCUUAAAUCAUUAUACGCUUUUAACAAUGCUGAACGUGCUCUGUGCCGCUGGCCUAUUAAUAUAAUACAACUUUUAACAACGGAUCUCUUGGUUCUC